AGGAGUGGAGCCUGCGGCUUAAUUUGACUCAACACGGGAAACCUCACCAGGCCCAGACACUGGAAGGAUUGACAGAUUGAGAGCUCUUUCUUGAUUCAGUGGGUGGUGGUGCAUGGCCGUUCUUAGUUGGUGGAGCGAUUUGUCUGGUUAAUUCCGAUAACGAACGAGACUCUAGCCUACUAAAUAGACGUUACACUUUCCAGUAUCUCGAAGGCUCACAUCUUUCGUUUCUUCUUAUAUUCCCAAUUAUUCUAUACCCAUAUCGAGAGAUGUUUUAUUCCAUUUCGGUGGUUUAUAUUCUAUUUAUCAUGUGGAUUAGGUUUUUGGUGUUUUAUAGGGGUACGGGAGUUUGUGGUUUUUACUACUGGCGUACAUAUAAAUCUUCUUAGAGGGACAGGCGGCUUCUAGCCGCACGAGAUUGAGCAAUAACAGGUCUGUGAUGCCCUUAGAUGUUCUGGGCCG
rnacentral:rRNA from 1 species